rnacentral:rRNA from 1 species
GACGAACGCUGGCGGCGUGCUUAACACAUGCAAGUCGAACGGAAAGGCCCAGCUUGCUGGGUGCUCGAGUGGCGAACGGGUGAGUAACACGUGGGUGAUCUGCCCCUAACUUCGGGAUAAGCUUGGGAAACUGGGUCUAAUACCGGAUAGGACAAUCGUUUAGUGUCGGUUGUGGAAAGUUUUUUCGGUUAGGGAUGAGCCCGCGGCCUAUCAGCUUGUUGGUGGGGUAAUGGCCUACCAAGGCGUCGACGGGUAGCCGGCCUGGGAGGGUGGACGGCCACAUUGGGCCUGAGAUACGGCCCAGACUCCUACGGGGGGCAGCAGUGGGGAAUAUUGCACAAUGGGCGCAAGCCUGAUGCAGCGACGCCGCGUGGGGGAUGACGGCCUUCGGGUUGUAAACCUCUUUCGACAGGGACGAAGCUUUGGUGACGGUACCUGUAUAAGAAGCACCGGCUAACUACGUG